AGCACAGACUUCUCAGCUGUGACAUAUAAUCCAUGUGUGGAUUAAACUGAGCAUGCAAUGCAGCUGAGAAUUCCAGAGAAUCCUCCUUCCUCCACUCUGACAGUGCGAAGGAUGACUCUUCAACAUUUCCUUCCUUGUUCUAAGAAAAUUUGAUUGAUUGUCAAGAGUGAUUUUGGGCUUCUUUCCAAUGUUCUCCAUUGGGAAGCAGAGAUAAGUUACACAUGCAAAGAAGUUCCACACAGUACUGUGAAUUCAUCUGCUUAUCAUCUUCAGCAUUCCCAUCAAACUUUGUCACCGUUCUCUACCCAGGAUGGAUCUGUAUGAAGCCAACAAUUAUGUGUGUUUGAAUUAUCCUGCUCAUUGCUACAGCAAGGUUUGCAUCUUUGUGUUGACAAAGAACCACAGAGGUAGAAUGUGACGGAGGAAAGGAGCACCGCCUACUGGUCGCACAAUGAUACCGGGGAACGGAAUUCUACCCCUCGUUAAAACGCACAGACGGCGCAAUUCUUGGCUGAUUUGUUUGUAUAUAAGGAAAGAAUUUGUUCUGAAGUGCAGUAACAGGGUGUUCCUUAUGGGCAUU